UACGGAGGGUGCAAGCGUUAUCCGGAUUUACUGGGUUUAAAGGGUGCGUAGGUGGCUAAUUAAGUCAGUGGUGAAAUCUUCAGGCUUAACCUGGAAACUGCCAUUGAUACUAUUUAUCUUGAAUACUUUGGAGGUAAGCGGAAUAUGUCAUGUAGCGGUGAAAUGCUUAGAUAUGACAUAGAACACCAAUUGCGAAGGCAGCUUACUACACAGUAAUUGACACUGAGGCACGAAAGCGUGGGGAUCAAACAGG
rnacentral:rRNA from 1 species